AUGAGACCGCUCAACGACCGGGAGAACAACAUCAUGAUACGAACGAUCAUCUUGAUGCUCGAGCCAAUUUGUUAGUUCCUCGGAGUAAUGAUCAAGCAGUAGAUCGUCAUGAAGAGGGUACCCGUAUGUC